GAGCUGUGCAGGAAGCACAAAGCGAAACUAUUCUUUCGCCUUUUACUAAAGAAUACCGUGUACUUGCUGUAUUAAUCAGCAUACUUUAAUUUUUGGAGAGGUUCUUCAAUUUUU